GGGGUGAUACAGUAUAUCUGGUCAGGUGUUGGGCUAUAACGAGGGUGAUACAGUAUAUCUGGUCAGGUGUUGGGCUAUAACGAGGGUGAUACAGUAUAUCUGGUCAGGUGUUGGGCUAUAACGAGGGUGAUACAGUAUAUCUGGUCAGGUGUUGGGCUAUAACGGGGGUAAUACAGUAUAUCUGGUCAGGUGUUGGGCUAUUACGGGGUGAUACAGUAUAUCUGGUCAGGUGUUGGGCUAUAACGAGGGUGAUAUAUGGUUAGGUGAUGGGCUAU